rnacentral:rRNA from 1 species
UGGGUGGAUGAGUGGCGAACGGGUGAGUAACACGUGAGUAACCUGCCCCCUUCUUUGGGAUAACGCCCGGAAACGGGUGCUAAUACUGGAUAUUCACUGGCCUUCGCAUGGGGGUUGGUGGAAAGGUUUUUUCUGGUGGGGGAUGGGCUCGCGGCCUAUCAGCUUGUUGGUGGGGUGAUGGCCUACCAAGGCUUUGACGGGUAGCCGGCCUGAGAGGGUGACCGGUCACAUUGGGACUGAGAUACGGCCCAG